GAUGAACGCUGGCGGCGUGCCUAAUACAUGCAAGUAGAACGCUGAAGCUUGGUGCUUGCACCGAGCGGAUGAGUUGCGAACGGGUGAGUAACGCGUAGGUAACCUGCCUCUUAGCGGGGGAUAACUAUUGGAAACGAUAGCUAAUACCGCAUAAAAGUCGAUAUCGCAUGAUAUUGAUUUGAAAGGUGCAAAUGCAUCACUAAGAGAUGGACCUGCGUUGUAUUAGCUAGUUGGUGAGGUAACGGCUCACCAAGGCGACGAUACAUACCGACCUGAGAGGGUGAUCGGCCCCUGGGACUGAGACACGGCCCAGACUCCUACGGGAGGCAGCAGUAGGGAAUCUUCGGCAAUGGGGGCAACCCUGACCGAGCACCCGCGUGAGUGAAGAAGGUUUUCGGAUCGUAAAGCUCUGUUGUAAGAGAAGAACGAGUGUGAGAGU
rnacentral:rRNA from 1 species